rnacentral:rRNA from 1 species
ACUUUAUAUGGUAAUUAAAUUUAAUUGAAUUUUAAAAGUUUAGUUUAAUGUAAUAUUUUAUUGGGGCGAUAGAGGUAUAAAUUUUAUUAACUGCUUAAAAUUAAAACAAUAAUAUUUGAAUAAAUUAUAAAUGAUCCUUUAUAGAGAGUAAAAGACUAAGUU